rnacentral:rRNA from 1 species
UGAAAUUGAACUCGCUGUGAAGAUGCAGUGUACCCGCGGCAAGACGGAAAGACCCCGUGAACCUUUACUAUAGCUUGACACUGAACAUUGAGCCUUGAUGUGUAGGAUAGGUGGGAGGCUUUGAAGUGUGGACGCCAGUCUGCAUGGAGCCGACCUUGAAAUACCACCCUUUAAUGUUUGAUGUUCUAACGUGGGCCCCUUACCGGGGUUGCGGACAGUGUCUGGUGGGUAGUUUGACUGGGGCGGUCUCCUCCUAAAGAGUAACGGAGGAGCACGAAGGUUGGCUAAUCCUGGUCGGACAUCAGGAGGUUAGUGCAAUGGCAUAAGCCAGCUUGACUGCGAGCGUGACGGCGCGAGCAGGUGCGAAAGCAGGUCAUAGUGAUCCGGUGGUUCUGAAUGGAAGGGCCAUCGCUCAACGGAUAAAAGGUACUCCGGGGAUAACAGGCUGAUACCGCCCAAGAGUUCAUAUCGACGGCGGUGUUUGGCACCUCGAUGUCGGCUCAUCACAUCCUGGGGCUGAAGUAGGUCCCAAGGGUAUGGCUGUUCGCCAUUUAAAGUGGUACGCGAGCUGGGUUUAGAACGUCGUGAGACAGUUCGGUCCCUAUCUGCCGUGGGCGCUGGAGAACUGAGGGGGGCUGCUCCUAGUACGAGAGGACCGGAGUGGACGCAUCACUGGUGUUCGGGUUGUCAUGCCAAUGGCACUGCCCGGUAGCUAAAUGCGGAAGAGAUAAGUGCUGAAAGCAUCUAAGCACGAAACUUGCCCCGAGAUGAGUUCUCCCUGACUCCUUGAGAGUCCUGAAGGAACGUUGAAGACGACGACGUUGAUAGGCCGGGUGUGUAAGCGCAGCGAUGCGUUGAGCUAACCGGUACUAAUGAACCGUGAGGCUUAACCUUACAACGCCGAAG